rnacentral:misc_RNA from 1 species
GAUUAAGAACGUAGCGAAAUGCGAUAAGUAAUGUGAAUUGCAGAAUUCAGUGAAUCAUCGAAUCUUUGAACGCACAUUGCGCCCGGUAGUAUUCUGCCGGGCAUGCCUGUUCGAGCGUCAUUUCAACCAUCAAGCCCCAGCGCUUGUGUUGGGGGCCUGCGGCUGCCGCAGCCCCCCAAAAGCAGUGGCGGGCUCGCUAUCACACCGAGUGCAGUAGUUCAUCUUCUCUCCGGUCUUGUGAGGCGGGUUCCGGCCGUGAAACACCCCACUACAUUCAAGGUUGACCUCGGAUCAGGUAGGAAUACCCGCUGAACUUAAGCAUAUCAAUAAGCGGAGGA